AUGUGAGCAAUCUCUACUAGUUUCAGUUGAGUACAAACCAGUGCAUACAUAGACAAAAAAAAACAAGUUUAAUAACAAAUAAAGACAGCUGAAGUCAUUAGCCUGGUUGGCAAAGAAAUUGCGUUAAAACAUCUGACAUGUGUUAUGUGGUUAAUAACAAUUACAGGAGCCACACACCACAUUUCUUAUCACAUCCACUAGGACUAGUCUCAUACAAGGGGAAACGGGCUAGCUGACAAGGCACAUUCAAAACCUAAGAGCCAUUAAUGUAGCCAAAUUAAAACAUUUCCAUAAGAUUAAGAAAUCAACUGACGAUUGCAACAAGGAGAUAGUGAUAUCCUCUGACACAUUCGCUUGGCCAUUAGCUACUUAGUACACUAUGGAAGAGAGAGGGAUAUGCAUUCAAGAAGGUUCCUUGAAGCUUGUGGAAAAAAAAAAAAAAAAAA